rnacentral:piRNA from 1 species
UCUCUCAGGGGAAACCUCCUUCAAAGAAC